GAUGAACGCUGACAGAAUGCUUAACACAUGCAAGUCUUUGGCAAAUCUGUGCUUGCACAGCCUAGCCAAGGCGGACGGGUGAGUAACGCGUAAAGAACUUGCCCUGCAGACAGGGAUGACAGACGGAAACGACUGAUAAUACCUGAUACAAUUGCCAGCACGCAUGUGCCCGGCAAUGAAAAGUGAUGCUGCAAGAGAGCUUUGCGUCCUAUUAGCUUGUUGGUGAGGUAACGGCUCACCAAGGCGAUGAUAGGUAGCCGGCCUGAGAGGGUGAACGGCCACAAGGGGACUGAGAUACGGCCCUUACUCCUACGGGAGGCAGCAGUGGGGAAUAUUGGACAAUGGGGGCAACCCUGAUCCAGCAAUUCUGUGUGCACGAAGAAGGUUUUCGGAUUGUAAAGUGCUUUCAGCAGGGAAGAAGAAAGUGACGGUACCUGCAGAAGAAGCGCGGU
rnacentral:rRNA from 1 species